rnacentral:rRNA from 1 species
GAGUUUGAUCCUGGCUCAGGAUGAACGCUAGCGGCAGGCCUAAUACAUGCAAGCUGAACGGUAAAUGUUGUAGCAAUACGAUAUGAGAGUAGCGUAAGGGUGCGUAACACGUAUGCAAUCUACCCGCAACAGGAGGAUAGCUCCCCGAAAGGGGAAUUAAUACUCCAUAAUAUCACGAGAGGGCAUCUGAUUGUGAUUAAACUCCAAGGGGUUGCGGAUGAGCAUGCGUCUGAUUAGUUAGUUGGUGAGGUAACGGCUCACCAAGACGAUGAUCAGUAGGGGAACUGAGAGGUUGAUCCCCCACACUGGCACUGAGAUACGGGCCAGACUCCUACGGGAGGCAGCAGUAGGGAAUAUUGGUCAAUGGGUGAAAGCCUGAACCAGCCAUGCCGCG